rnacentral:lncRNA from 1 species
GUUGGAGACAGGGUCUCACUCUGUCGCCUAGGCUGGAGCUCAAUGGCAGUCUCAGCUCACUGCAGCCUCUGCCUCAUGGGCUCAAGUGAUUCUCCAUCCUCAGCCUCCCGAGUAGCUGGGAUUACAGGCAUAUGCCACCACGCCUGGCUGAUUUUUGUAUUUUUAGUAGAGAUGGGGUUUCACUAUGUUGGCCAGGCUGGUCUUGAACUCCUGACCUCAAGCGAUCCACCCACCUUAGCCUUCCCAAGUGCUGAGAUUUCAGGCAUGAGCCACUGUGCCCAGCCAAAAACUCUUAUCUGAUCAGACAUUUUGUUGCACUUAAGCUUGGAAGAUUCAAUAGGAAGUAAUUUUUUUGCUAAAUUGGGAUUUAGCAUUAUUUGUUUUAUAUCUAUGUGUAUAUAUAUAUAUAUAUAUAUAUAUAUACAUGAGUAAUAUACAAGAGUAUACUAGUGUACUACUCUUGUAGCAUAUGUCCAUUGGUGAACAUAGGUAGGCAUUUCUGUGCCUAGAAGUGUGUAUAUACCUACACAUACAUUUAUAUUAUAUUCACACACACACACACACACACACACACACACAGAGUAUUAAUUGAAGAGAGUUAUAAGACACAGCUUUAGGAAACUAGUUGCUGAAUUUUGUCUUGAUCUUGCUGAGCACAGUGUUUGUUUAUUUGGCCCAAAGAAGCAAUGGAGGUAAGAAGUCUUUCGUGGCCUGGGUUACUCCCAGCAGGUGAAGCUGGAUACUGGCUGCUGUCUUUUACCCUGGACCCCGGAUGGGCAACACAGGUGAAUAAUAUCUUGCUCAGUCUGGAAAGACCCAAAGAGAUAAUUCACCCCUUUCC